rnacentral:rRNA from 1 species
GGCCAGACUCCUACGGGAGGCAGCAGUGGGGGAUAUUGCACAAUGGGGGGAACCCUGGUGCAGCGACGCCGCGUGGGUGAAGGAGUGCUUCGGCAUGUAAAGCCCUAUCGGCAGGGAAGAAGCAAGACGGUACCUGACUAAGAAGCCCCGGCUAACUACGUGCCAGCAGCCGCGGGAAUACGUAGGGGGCAAGCGUUAUCCGGAUUUACUGGGUGUAAAGGGAGCGUAGACGGUUAUGUAAGUCUGGAGUGAAAGCCCGGGGCCCAACCCCGGGACUGCUUUGGAAACUGUGUAACUGGAGUACAGGAGGGGCAGGCGGAAUUCCUGGUGUAGCGGUGAAAUGCGUAGAUAUCAGGAGGAACACCGGCGGCGAAGGCGGCCUGCUGGACUGAAACUGACGUUGAGGCUCGAAAGCGUGGGGAGCAAACAGGAUUAGAUACCCCUGUAAGC